AGAGUUUGAUCCUGGCUCAGAUUGAACGCUGGCGGCAGGCCUAACACAUGCAAGUCGAGCGGAUGAGUGGAGCUUGCUCCAUGAUUCAGGACGGGUGAGUAAUGCCUAGGAAUCUGCCUGGUAGUGGGGGACAACGUUUCGAAAGGAACGCUAAUACCGCAUACGUCCUACGGGAGAAAGUGGGGGAUCUUCGGACCUCACGCUAUCCCAUGAGCCUAGGUCGGAUUAGCUAGUUGGCGAGGUAAAGGCACACCAAGGCGACGAUCCGUAACUGGUCUGAGAGGAUGAUCAGUGACACUGGAACUGAGACACGGUCCAGGCUCCUACGGGAGGCAGCAGUGGGGAAUAUUGGACAAUGGGCGAAAGCCUGAUCCAGCCAUGCCGCGUGUGUGAAGAAGGUCUUCGGAUUGUAAAGCACUUUAAGUUGGGAGGAAGGGCAGUAAGUUAAUACCUUGCUGUUUGAAGGUACCGUAAGAAUAAGCCCCGGCUAACUACGUGCCAGCAGCCGCGGUAAUACGUAGGGGGCGAGCGUUGUCCGGAGUUACUGGGCGUAAAGAGCGUGUAGGCGGUUUGUUAAGUCAGAUGUGAAAGCCCAUGGCUCAACCAUGGACGUGCAUUUGAAACUGGCAGACUGGAGUUUGGGAGGGGCAACUGGAAUUCCUGGUGUAACGGUGAAAUGUGUAGAUAUCAGGAGGAACACCCGUGGCGAAGGCGGGUUGCUGGACCAAAACUGACGCUGAGACGCGAAAGCGUGGGUAGCAAACAGGAUUAGAUACCCUGGUAGUCCACGCUGUAAACGAUGAGUGCUAGGUGUAGGGGGUAUCGACUCCCUCUGUGCCGCAGUUAACGCAUUAAGCACUCCGCCUGGGGAGUACGGCCGCAAGGUUAAAACUCAAAGGAAUUGACGGGGGCCCGCACAAGCGGUGGAGUAUGUGGUUUAAUUCGAUGAUACGCGAAGAACCUUACCUGGUCUUGACAUGCUGGGAACCCUUAAGAGAUAGAGUGGAGGUUCCUUCGGGGCUGCUUACAAGGUGCUGCAUGGUUGUCGUCAGCUCGUGCCGUGAGGUGUCGGGUUAAGUCCCAUAACGAGCGCAACCCUUAUCGUUAGUUGCCAGCGGGUCAAGCCGGGCACUCUAAUGAGACUGCCGGUGACAAGCCGGAGGAAGGUGGGGAUGACGUCAAGUCCUCAUGGCCCUUAUAGGUGGGGCUACACACGUCAUACAAUGGCUGGUACAAAGGGUUGCCAACCCGCGAGGGGGAGCUAAUCCCACAAAGUACGUCUCAGUUCAGAUUGAAGUCUGCAACUCGACUUCAUGAAGGCGGAAUCGCUAGUAAUCGCGGAUCAGAAUGUCACGGUGAAUACGUUCCCGGGUCUUGUACACACCGCCCGUCACACCAUGGGAGCGGGUUCUGCCAGAAGUAGUUAGCCUAACCGCAAGGAGGGCGAUUACCACGGCAGGGUUCGUGACUGGGGUGAAGUCGUAACAAGGUAACCA
rnacentral:rRNA from 1 species